CCUACGGGGUGCAGCAGUCGAGAAUCAUUCACAAUGGGGGAAACCCUGAUGGUGCGACGCCGCGUGGGGGAAUGAAGGUCUUCGGAUUGUAAACCCCUGUCAUGUGGGAGCAAAUGAAAAAGAUAGUACCACAAGAGGAAGAGACGGCUAACUCUGGGCCAGCAGCCGCGGUAAUACAGAGGUCUCAAGCGUUGUUGGGAAUCACUGGGCGUAAAGGGUGCGUAGGCUGGUUCGUUAGUCGUGUGGGAAAGGCGCGGGCUCAAACCGCGGACGGCACAAGAAACUGCGGGUCUGGAGUGAGGCGGGGGGAAGCGGAAUGCGCGGUGUAGCGGUGAAAUGCAUAGAUAGCGGGGAGAAC
rnacentral:rRNA from 1 species